UAGCAGGAAGAAAAUUAACAGCAGGUGAAAUCUUCUAAAGGGACAGAUCGAAUUUCAGUUCAACUCAAAACGGUUUAUUUCUCACCCUUAAUGGUCAGUGGAGGAUCCAGCCCCGAUAACAGUCUCCUCCAGGUUCAGCCAGCUUUGGGGGUGCAUUCAGUCUAAGGAUCAGCCUGGGGAGUUCAGUCAUCAUUUUGAAGACAGCUGCUUGGAUUGGGGGGAAAGAAGAGAUUAUUGUUGUAAGCAAUGAGAAUGGAAGAGCAAUAGUGUCAGAAAGCUGCAUAUACAAGGUUGCAUCGGGGGAAUUUCCUCUUUGAAGCCCGCUCCUGUACUUCACCAGCAGAAAAGAUAAUCCACAGAGUUGAUUGGGGAACACUGCGGGAGUGAAACGAACCGACUGUAAAGUGAUCUGAGAAAAUGAGUCCUCGGGGUGCAAAACUGAGCUGCUUCUCUAACAUCUCCCCCGAAGAGUUUCGACUGUGGAAAUCUCUCCGAGGACUCACGUGUUCUGAGUUGAAUCGAUCUCUCAACGUGUUACGCAGAGGCUGUAAACUGGCAAUAAUAAUAAUCAUAAUGAUAAGCAA